rnacentral:lncRNA from 1 species
GUCAACAGCGCCAUCGUCAAAGCGACUGACAAGGCUUGCUCCUUGGCCUUGGAAACUGUGUGACCGGCCAGACUUAAAUUCCUGUAAUUAUGCUGCCAGGUCCCGUUUGUAAAAUAUUUCUUUGUCGAUGUCUUAUAUUUUUAGCAUAAACAGCGAUGCGAAAGUUGUCGAAGCAUUGCGAGCGCCCUCUUGUGUUUUCCGUUGAAUAGAGCAUACCGAGUUGCGUAACAAUUUGCAUAUGACAUGCAGUGCGAAAAAGCCCUUUAUUCCGUGCAGUGUCUCAAAAGCAUAGGGCUUCGGACGCACAUUCCGUGAAUGUUUCGCUAGUUUUCUUGGAGAGUAAGCAAGCAUGGGUAGGUCACUUGACUGCUUGUCGUUGCUGCUGCCAGCCACACCUUAUUUCGAGCCAGCUUGUCUAUAUUUUGCUGUGUUUCUCACGUGGUUUUGCCAUGGUUAGCACGCCGCAUGUGCAUAUUGUGUACAUGCAUAUCGUGUAGUUUGCCCAAACAUCCCGAGGCAUAGGUACACAGGCCGCAACUGCUCCGCUACUGCUUGUGGUUCUGUGGUUCCUGAUGGUCACAAACAGAGAAGCCUUCUCGAGUAGACCAGUGUAUCCCUUAUCCAGCAUCCAUAAUAUUUGGACUGCUGAAGAAUGACUGUCG